CUCUUUUCGAUCAAUCUUCCUAAGGUGGACUUUAUUUCGAUCUUAUCGAACAAGAUAAUUACAAUGCAAAAAGUAUUUGAUUCUUAGAUGGAACAUCAGUUCUUCAGUUUGAGCUAUAGCUCCAGUACUGCUGUCAAUACAGAAGGACUGGACUAUCAAUAGAGGGUGCGUCUCCAAGCUCGCAAAUAAACUUCCAUAAUCAAAUAAUUUCUUUACUAGCAUCAAAUGCCACAAAGAACUACGUAUCGCAAAUAAAACUGGCUACUAAAUACUGCAU
rnacentral:lncRNA from 1 species